rnacentral:rRNA from 1 species
UACGUAGGGUCCGAGCGUUGUCCGGAAUUAUUGGGCGUAAAGGGCUCGUAGGCGGUCCGUCACGUCGGGAGUGAAAACUCAGGGCUCAACCCUGAGCGUGCUUCCGAUACGGGCGGACUAGAGGUAUGCAGGGGAGAACGGAAUUCCUGGUGUAGCGGUGGAAUGCGCAGAUAUCAGGAGGAACACCGGUGGCGAAGGCGGCUCGCUGGGCCGUUGCUGACGCUGAUGCGCGAAAGCGUGGGGAGCAAACAGG